CGCUAUCACAACUUCGACGCACUAACACUAUUUGAUCUGUCUAACUUCAGUUGAAACGUAAACAUUGGAGAAAAAAGUAUGUCAAAAUGGCCGCUGACCCCCGAACUAUUGAUUGACAGGUCAUUUUAGCCAAUCGGCGAGUGUUAGGGGUGUCUUCUGAUGUUCCAACAACCAACGAGCUCGCCUGGUGAAAUCUGUACCUACCUCUCUUUGAGUGACAGUUUAUCUAUCCAGUUGCAAUAGAGAAUGAAAUGACGCUAUUUUCUGAUAGCCAAUGAAUUUCUGAAAAGACUGAAAUGCAGCUUUAGUGGCUGGAAUCAUCCGAUUACGUUAUAUUUCAUGCGUAAAGCGAAAGUGAUCCUCUGCGCGUUUGUGCGUAAACACAACAUUGAACGCGUUGGUGAGUGAAAGGAGGUAACAGAUGUGAAAUGGCAAAGAUAAUUAGAAAGACGCACUUAUUACUCGAAGAAGUGAUUGAACAGUGUAUUCUCCGUGACCGUGGUGAGUGGGAGGACAUUUGUGAGCAAGAGAGCAAUCGAUGUUGUUGUCUGGUUAGCACGACUAGCAGAGGACCCUUUUGGAUGGUGGCCACGGCACUCACGUCACGAAAAACCAUCAUCUGAAAAUUAGUGAGUGAAUUCUGGGAGCCAGUCAGAAAAAAACAACAUACUGGAACAGAAUGACAGCACCUUAUCAGGAGAGGAGCCCCAUCAUUUAUCUUUCCAGAGAGGUUCUGCCAGCUAAA